ACUCUUUUUCUUUCGUCUCUUAAAUUCUCUAGAAUCUGAGUUUUUUUGUCUUCCUUUCUUCGUUCGUCUCCUUUGUGUUCUUUGUGUUUCCCUUGAAACUUCUAUGAUUUGGGGUUUACAUUCUAUGUGAAUAAGUGAAUCUAAGUGAUUCUUGUGUGAGGGGGUUUUUUCCUUUGGUCUGUCAAAGUAGCCUCGUUCAGUUUUCUGUGUGGGUUUGGGUAUUUUGGUGCUUCUUAUUUGUACAGAAGGGUAUAAUGAUUUUUGAGUCCAAAGUUGAUGAAAUCUUGGUGUCAAAUGUUCGAUCU
rnacentral:lncRNA from 1 species